rnacentral:snRNA from 1 species
GUGCUCGCUUCAGCAGCACAUAUACUAAAAUUGGAAUGAUACAGAGAUUAACAAGGCCCCUGCUCAAGGAAGACACAAUUCUUGAAGCAUUCUAUAUUUUU